rnacentral:sRNA from 1 species
AGAUGCCCCAUCAUACUGCAGGCUCCAAGGUUUGAAACAAGGGGAUGAAUCCUAUACGCUCCACAGCACCUGUUGCCUUCAUUAGCAGCUUUUCCUCCUCUUCCCUGCACUUCCCAGAACCAAAGAAUGUGAAGGGGGUCCAUGGAGGUGAGUGAAGCUCUGGCUUCAACCUACAAGUACCUACAACUGUAUACUCCCUCUCCUGCCUACCUCUCUCUUUGACCUCCCAUUAUUAGAAGUUAACUCCUUGGCCCUGACAUCUCGAUUCCCAUACACCUCCCUCCACCCCAUCUUCCCGAGGUGAGUAGCACCCCGUGUUCCUAGUUCAGGCCCCAGCCCACCUUCCCUCGUGUUGUCCUUCUGGCCCUCGAGGCGACGCCCUUGCUUCCUUUACAGCUCUACCUUCACCCUUUGCUCUACGCAGAUCUUUCUCCACAGGGCUCACGUCCCCGCGCCCCGAGCGGCCACUUA